rnacentral:rRNA from 1 species
GCGGCGUGUUUAACACAUGCAAGUCCAACGAGAAAGUCCCUUCGGGGAUGAGUACAGAGGCGCACGGGUGAAUAACACUCGGGUAACCUACCUCCAUAACGGGGAUAACAUCUCGAAAGGGGUGCUAAUACCUGAUAAGACCACGUCACGAAAGCGGCGAGACAAAAGAUGGCCUCUGUACUUAAGCUAUCGCAUGUAGAUGGGCCUCACGGCCUAUCAACUUGUUGGCGGGGUAACGGCCCACCAAGGCUCUGACAGGGUAGCCGGCCUGAGAGGGUGAACGGCCACACUGGAACUGAGACACGGUCCAGACUCCUACGGGAGGCAGCAGUGGGGAAUUUUGCGCAAUGGGCGAAAGCCUGACGCAGCAACGCCGCGUGAGGGAUGAAGGCCUUCGGGUUGUAAACCUCUUUUAACCGGGAAGAAACCCCCGUCCGCAAAUAGCGGGCGGGAUUGACGGUACCGGUUGAAUAAGCCACGGCUAACUCUGUGCCAGCAGCCGCGGUAAGACAGAGGUGGCAAGCGUUGUUCGGAUUUACUGGGCGUAAAGAGCGCGUAGGCGGUCCUUUAAGUCGGUGGUGAAAUCCCGGGGCUUAACCCCGGAACUGCCUCCGAUACUGUUGGACUUGAGUGCGGGAGAGGGUAGUGGAAUUCUCAGUGUAGAGGUGAAAUUUGUAGAUAUUGGGAAGAACACCAGUGGCGAAGGCAGAUACCUGGACCGCAACUGACGCUGUGGCGCGAAAGCGUGGGGAGCAAACACGAUUAGAUACCCUGGUAGUCCACGCCCUAAACGAUGGGCAUUAGGUGUGGGAGGUAUCGACCCGCUCCCGUGCCGCAGCUAACGCAUUAAGUGCCCCGCCUGGGGAGUACUGUCGCAAGAUUAA